GAAGGUUUCCUCCUGAGUCAGGCAGAGGAGAGGAAGCAGGCAGAGCAGCAGAGGAAGGAUCUUUUGGCAGAAAUGGGUCUUGAUUCUUCUGAGGCAGAGAAGACUCCGUUGGACGCCAGAGUGAGGCCUCUGGGUCUGCGUGCUGUUUGCUCCAUUUGGUCUAUGACAUUUGGAUGAUCAU